UACAGAGGGUGCAAGCGUUAAUCGGAAUUACUGGGCGUAAAGCGCGCGUAGGUGGUUCGUUAAGUUGGAUGUGAAAUCCCCGGGCUCAACCUGGGAACUGCAUUCAAAACUGACGAGCUAGAGUAUGGUAGAGGGUGGUGGAAUUUCCUGUGUAGCGGUGAAAUGCGUAGAUAUAGGAAGGAACACCAGUGACGAAGGCGUACCACCUGGACUGAUACUGACACUGAAGGUGCGAAAGGCGUGGGGAGCAAACGAUGGAUUAGACUACCCGGCGUCAGCC
rnacentral:rRNA from 1 species